GACGAACGCUGGCGGCGUGCUUAACACAUGCAAGUCGAACGGAAAGGCCCUGCUUUUGUGGGGUGCUCGAGUGGCGAACGGGUGAGUAACACGUGAGUAACCUGCCCUUGACUUUGGGAUAACUUCAGGAAACUGGGGCUAAUACCGGAUAGGAGCUCCUGCUGCAUGGUGGGGGUUGGAAAGUUUCGGCGGUUGGGGAUGGACUCGCGGCUUAUCAGCUUGUUGGUGGGGUAGUGGCUUACCAAGGCUUUGACGGGUAGCCGGCCUGAGAGGGUGACCGGCCACAUUGGGACUGAGAUACGGCCAAGACUCCUACGGGAGGCAGCAGUGGGGAAUAUUGCACAAUGGGCGGAAGCCUGAUGCAGCAACGCCGCGUGCGGGAUGACGGCCUUCGGGUUGUAAACCGCUUUCGCCUGGGACGAAGCGUGAGUGACGGUAAUGGGUAAAGAAGCACCGGCUAACUACG
rnacentral:rRNA from 1 species